GAUUGUGAGAGGGUGACGAACCCUGGAAUCGGGCUCCCUCCUCUCUGGUUCCAGGUGUGUCACCCAAGAACCGCA
rfam:Myotis brandtii contig156192, whole genome shotgun sequence.